UACGUAGGUGGCAAGCGUUGUCCGGAUUUACUGGGCGUAAAGGGAGCGUAGGCGGAUACUUAAGUGGGAUGUGAAAUACCUGGGCUUAACUUGGGUGCUGCAUUCCAAACUGGGUGUCUAGAGUGCUGGAGAGGAAAGUGGAAUUCCUAGUGUAGCGGUGAAAUGCGUAGAGAUUAGGAAGAACACCAGUGGCGAAGGCGACUCUCUGGACAAUAACUGAUGCUGAGGCUCGAAAGCGUGGGGAGCAAACAGGAUUAGAUACCCUGGUAGUCCACGCCGUAAACGAUGGGUACUAGGUGUAGGAGGUAUCGACUCCUCCUGUGCCGCCGUUAACACAAUAAGUACCCCGCCUGGGGAGUACGGUCGCAAGAUUAAA
rnacentral:rRNA from 1 species